UCUAAUUUAGUUAUAUACAUAAUACGUAAAUAAAUAGAAAUAAAUAAUAAUAUAUAAAAAUAAAAACAUUCAUCCCACGCAAUUGCGCGGAUCUUGAGCUAGUAAAAUAUAAACCCGGAAAUUUAAAUGGCCCUGGCCGGAUCUUUCUAUUGUUCCUUACGAGAACAAAUAUGGUUUGGUCGGAGCUUUAAAACAUUUAUGAAAAUAAAUUACAAAUAAUAAUAUAGAAAUAGCGUCAAAAUAUAUAUAUGUAUAUAUAAGGACAGACAUGUCUUUGGGCCCCCAUGUCUUUUAGGGAAAAGCAAAACAUAACAUAAGUAUAGAAAAGUCUAGGAUUUUAAGUUUAAACCAUGUCAAGAGAUGUUCCACGCUUUGAGAACUAAACCAAGUGGACGCAAUAAAAGGAUGGCCAUUAAGACGGACAUGAGCAAAACAUAUGAUAGUAUGAAAUGGUCGUUUAUUGAAGCUGUCAUGCGUAAGAUGAGAUUUUUAGAAACAUGGAUCACCUGGAUAAUGAGGUGUAUUACGUCGGUGAAAUAUAAGGUACUCAUGAAUGGGCAGCCAAGAGGAAAUAUUGAACCUGGUAGAGGCCUACGCCAAGGAGAUUCUUUGUCUCCUUUCAUUUUUAUUCUAUGCACGGAAGCACUCGCUAGCCUUCUCAAUCAUGCAAAGAGCUAAGGGAAGAUAACGGGGAUGCGCGUUACACGCGCGUGUCCGUCGGUGUCCCACCUUCUUUUUGCUGAUGAUAGCCUUUUCUUCUGUAAGGCGGAGCCCCGUGAAUAUGAAGAAGUAAUGAAAGUAGUCAGGAAGUAUGGUAAAGCAUCAGGUCAAUGUAUCAACUUUGAUAAAUCAUCCUUACUCUUUGGUAAGCGGGUUAAUGCAACAAGUAGACAAGAGAUUAAUGAUGUGCUGGGAAUUCAAAAUGAAGGUGGAAUGGAUACUUAUCUAGGGAUCCCGGAAGACAUAAGUGGCUCCAAGUGUAAGCUCUUUGCGUUCCUAAAGGAUAAGCUGAUUCAUAGAGUGAAUUGAUGGACAGGUAGAUGGCUCUCAAAAGGAGGAAAGGAAGUGUUGCUUAAAUCCAUUCUGCUAGUUCUUCCGACAUAUGUUAUGUCUAUUUUCCUGCUCCCAUUGGAGAUACGUGAAAACCUUGCAAGUGCCAUUGCUAAAUUCUGGUGGAGCUCAAAUCCACCAAAGAGAGGAAUACACUCCGCGAAAUGGGAGAAAGUCUGUUUACCAAGGGAAGAGGGUGGGAUUGGUUUCCGUAUGAUCCAUGAGUUCAAUUUGGCAUUAUUGGCAAAACAAUUAUGGAGACUAGUUCAAUUUCAUAACUCUUUGGUGGCCCGGGUUUUGAGGGGUAGAUACUAUAGAAUGAGUUCACCACUCAGAGUAAACUCUGCUAGCAGCCCAUCGUAUGUGUGGUCUAGCAUUUCUGCUGCGCGAAAGUUGCUUUUAAUGGGAAUCAGACAAAAUAUACAUUCAGGCUAUGAAGUCAAGGUGUGGGAGGAUCCACGGAUUCCAACGACCCCGGCGAGACCAGCUCUCCCCACAGCGCCGGUAAUGCAUCCUAAUAUGAGAGUUAGUGACUUCAUUAAUCCGGUAACGAAAGAGUGAGAUGUUGGUCUUUUGGAGAAUUAUGUCAAUCCAGAGGACAUACCACUUAUAAGGAGCCUGGCCACAAGUUCAGCUCAUCGUCGCGAUACAUUAUGUUGGAAUUACACAAGGAAUGGCCAGUACACGGUUAAAUCUGGAUAUUGGGUGGCUCAGAAUGUGUUAAAGGCAGAGGAGGAGAAGGAAGUCCUAGAACCGAGUAUCACAAAGUUUCAAGCCUUCGCUUGGAAGUUAAAGGCACCUUCGAAGAUAUGUCAACUUAUAUGGCAGUUGUUAACUGGCCAUGUGGCAGUAACGAGGAACUUAGCAAGACGCAAUAUGAGGUGUGAUAACUACUUCCCAAGAUGUGGAGAGCUAGAAGAAUCUGUAACCCAUGCUAUAUUCGAGUGUCCGCCAGCUCUACAAGUCUGGUCCUUAUCAUCAACUCCGUCAAACCCAGGUUUAUUUCCAGUACCAAGCGUUUACGCAAACAUGGAUUAUCUAUUCUAGAGAAAAAACAACAUUAUCGAGCCGGAGCAGGACAGGGAUCCUUAUCCCUGGAUAAUUUGGUACAUUUGGAAGGCUAGGAAUGACAAACUUUUCAGAGGGAUAGACAGAGAUCCUUUGGAGCUAGUUCGACAUGCAUAAAGUGAAUGUCAAGCCUGGUUUAAUGCGAACGAAGUGGUACAACCUGUGGUACAAGAAAUCACUUCUGAGGAACCCCAAGUCAUAAGCUUGGGUAAUAUUUGCUUGCUAGAUGGAUCCUGGACAGCUUCGGCUCAGUUUAGUGGAUGUGGAUGGGUUUGGUGGGAUAGUGGAGGAAACAUUUAAAUGCUGGGGACAAGAAAUUUUGAUCAACGAGAAUCGGCUUUGCAUUCGGAAGUAGAAGCUCUGCGGUGGGCAAUAGAGAACAUGCUUCAACACUCAAUCUGCCAAAGCUUUGGGACAGACUGCAAGGAGCUGAUAGCAAUGAUAAAGGAACCUCAUGUCUGACCUAGCUUUGCGACGAAAUUGGAGAGGAUAGAGACGCUGAUGAUUUGCUUCCCGGAUUUCAACAUCAUUCAUGUUCCACGAGCGCGCAACCAGUUUUCAGAUUUUUUAGGUAAGACUGCUAGAUCUUUCCAUAGGAAGUUACAUUUUAUUGGUUGUUAUAUUCCGGUCUGGUUACCCAGCCCACCUCAAGCUUGAGUAAUAGAAUGACCGUUUGACCUAAAAAAAAAAAAAACCAUCGUGAGAAAGUAUCUGCGUAUAUCAUCCGCAAAGCGAACAACUUAUAGUUUGUAGCUUUAUUUACGGAGCACAUGCAUUUACAGUUUCAAUAAUGGUGCCUCUGUUUAGUCUUUAUGAUAUGAGAUUUUAUUUAAGAAUCUAUCUACUAAUGGUCACAGUAAAAAGAAAACUAAGAAUCAUUAUUGUCAAUAAGAAUUCCUUCCUUUCUUUAAUAGUUAGUUAUAAAAUACCAGCACUAAAAAAAAAUCGGUAAAUGUAAUGGAAUAAUCAUUUUGGAUUAACGUUAACAGUAUGACUGGGAAGUAGCAAUUGUCAAUAAGAAUCCAUUUUUUCCUGAAAAAGUUGUCAUACAAUACUAGAGUUAAAAAAAAAAGAGUUUAAGUGUAAUAUAUCCAAUAGAGAUCUAUAUUAGCUAAAUGCCUUUGUGUAAUAAACUCCAAAAGUCAGUUAUCUUUUUAGGUUUAGACGGACGAUAAUACCUUUUUUUUUUAUCAGAAAAGAUAUACAGAAAAAGAUUCAGCACAAAGUUGUUCUGACCUAGGUCUGACCAUAGGAGACGUUUCACCGAAAUAACCAGUGAAAAAAGAGUAGGUUUUAUACAGUCUCUGAUACUUCUUUUCACUGUAAUCAAAACAAUAACAAAUAUAUCAUGCAAGCUUCAAGAAACUACAUCAAUGGUGGACUGAUGCUGAUAAUUUUUUUUUUUUUUUGAUAAAAAUUUGAGAAUAUAUUGGAUGUGUAUUAGGCUUUUUUUUGUUCUUAUAAUUAGAAAGAGUGAACGAAAUUUAAGAUUGAAGAGAAGAGUGAAAGACAAGUGAAUACAUCAUGGAGAUUAUAAAGCAUGUAUUGAUAAAAAGACUAUGUAUUGAAGUUAAGAUUACGUUAACGGUAAAAUAUUCUAUAGUAGCUAAUAUGUUGUGUUACAUAUCCAAUAUAUAUUAACAGUUAACUUUGUUGUUGCCAAACAUUACCUAGCUUACACAGCGUGUAACUAUAGAAUUUAGCGGGUAUACAUUAUGUUAGCUGAAAACUAAUUUGUGGUCAAACGAUAAUUAUUGUAAUGUGUAACCGCUAAGGCAUAAUAGUAUAUAUUAUUUAACAUGUAUGGGAUAACAUAUCAAAAUAUGUAAUAUAAAAAUAGUAUUAGAUGUUAACGACGAAAAAUACACCAUGCACUUUAAUGGUUUGCAUAAAUUGAUCCAAAUAUAUUUAUGUCUACUUAAAUAUUUCGAUGUCUAAAUAUAUGUGUAUUGUGUUGAAGUAUUGAAAGUUAUUACAAAAUGUUAAUUGUUAUAUAAAAUGUUAGCAUAUAAAUAACAAUUUUUCUUAAACAAAUACAUAAACUGCAAAAAAAAAAUAUGAAUAACAACCAAUCCGAUAAAAAUUUGGUUCCUCUACAUAAAGACGCAGCCAUCAAUCUUCUUUCAUAAUCUUUCAGCUGUCACCAAUUACGGUUCCGGAAAAUUAUGAAACACCUAACAAAACAUGUACCAGAUAAGAAAUAAUGUUUCAGAUAACAACUUAUUAAUCCACACCAUGUAUUAACCUAUUUGCCAGCUAACAAAAUAAGUAUAAAAAAUGUACAAGCUCACAAGUUAGAGCAAGAGCAUCAGUGAACCCCCCUUGGGGUUCAUCUUUUCAAAUUUUUAUUAUUAAUUUUUUUUCUUUUUCUUUUUGAUUUUUUUUUAAAAAAAAAAAAAAAAAAAACUAGACCAAUCGCGGGCUGCCACGACACGUGGGGCCCGCGCUACAGUGUUGAACUUUAGGAGAGAGGGGUUCAGCCGAGAGAGCUUUAGGAGAGAGGUUCAUGUGAUUGAGUUAUUAUUUUUUUUUCUUGAUUUCUGUGUGAACUCCCCCCAUAAACCCUCAAAGCAGGUGCUCUUAUUUAUUCAACUAUUUAUCAUCUACACAGACCAUGUAUCAAUGAACGUCAAGUCUCUUGUAAUAUCAUACCAACCAAUUAUCAAAUCUUCGAUAUCAAAUUAUAUAUGUAUCAGCUAAUAAUACAUGUACCAAGUAACAAAUCGUUUAUCAGAUAACAACCAAAUUAUCAUGUAAUAUAUUAAUUCACAGACAUGUAGCAACCCAUUUGUCAGCUAAUAAACUAAGUGACAAACAAUGUACGAGCUAGCAAACCAUUUAUCAGCUAAAUAAACUAUGUAUCAGUUAACGUCAAGUCUUUUGUAACAUCAUAUCAAACAGUUAUGAAUUCUUCGGUGUUAUCCUAUGUGUCAGCUAACAAAAUAUGUAACAUAUAACAAAUCAUUUACAUGUAAAAAAAUUAUCAUACAACAUAUAAACUCACAAAAACACCAAAGAUCUGAUAAAACUAAAGAUCUGCAAAAACAUUCUGAAAUUAAUCGGAAGAGAGUGUUGAAAUUAAUAAUCUCAAGCUCUCCAAAAAUAUGUUUUGAUUGAGCUCCUCUUCAUCACAACAUUCUCAUACACAACCAAUUAAAUCUUUUUAGGCAGACAUCAAUCAAAAAAAUUAAAGAAAAACUAGUUCAAAUCUAAUUUGGUAAAAAUCAUUUUAAAUAAAAAGAAAAAAAAAAGACAGUGUAAGAAAGAUUCAAACGGCGAUUUUGAUUUUGUGGUACUAGUUGAUACGGUCGCCCAACGGCUCUUCACCAACGGCGAACAUUCUCGGCGGAAGUGGUAUUUCAAUCAUCUGAAUGGGUAAGGAGAAAGUAGAGGUGAGGAAUUAGGGAUUUAGGGUUCUGCAGAAAUUAGGAAUAGAGAGAUCCAAAGUUAAAACUCAUAUGAAAAUGAAUCGACAAAAAUGAAAAAGAAAAGAAGAAUAGAAAAUAUUGGUUGGGGAAACGCGAAUUAAUAUGUUUUUUAUGGUAAAAAUUGAAACCGAAAAGGAAAAGUGGAACUCUUUUGUUCUGUUUUCGAAAAUGCACAAACCAUGGAAUUAUCCAAUGGUUGGAAAUGAGCAAUUUGACGCACAACACAGAGGUUGCACUGCAUAAGAGAUAUAGCUUGAAGGGGCAAAAGGGUCAUGCAAAAUAAUUUACUAAAUGCAAGAGUAUAUGACUAAAUAAAGGUGUCUUUGGGUGCAGUGGCACCAAUUACUCUUUAAAAAAUUGGUAAAUAUAAUAUGGAAUAACCAUUAUGGAUAGACGUCAACAGCAUCAAACCUAAUAUGUAACUUUUUCUCCCUAUAUGAUAUAAGCACAAAAUACAAGUCUUUAUAUAGAUUACAGAUACAUGCCAGUUCAUAUUAUAAUUUUUGUAACUUUAAAGUCAUAAUGCUAUGUAUAUUUUUGUUUGGAACUUUAUCUAUUUUAUACAUUGUUUAAUACAAUUAAAAACUACCGAAUGUUUGUCUUUCCGGUUCCAAAUGGUCCUAAGUUCUUAAGUGGGCUCGACUGUCUAAUAAAUGCAUAGAGUUAAUCAAAUAAACCGAGAUGCAUAGAAAUUUCAUAUUAUUGUAAUUUAUUUUAACUCUGUAGUUUAUACGUAAACCACAACUAUGAAAAUUUCAGGAAGUUGAACGGAAGUUUCUCUUGAUUUUAAUUUAUUUUCCGUUCAAGCUUAAAUCGUAAAUAGGAUAUCGUUUUAAUUAAAAUAUAUGCUAUUUGCACAAAUGGGAUGUUAACAGGUGGAUUUUUCCGGUGUAUGUAAACCAAAACUAUCAAAAUAUUAGGAAAUAACUGAAAGUUUCGCUUGAAUUUCUUUCAUUUUUCCUUUCCAAACUUAUAUCAUAAGUAAGUUAUGGUAAAUAAAUUUCCUCGCAACAAAUGGGUGCCCGACACGUGGGUACAUAUAUGAGCUUAGAGCUUAAGUUUAAUUCUCAUCUAGGUGCAUUUCUUCUCUUUAAUCUAUAUAUAUAAAGAGCACAUUGUGCAUUGGCUUCACAACCACAACAACAACAACAUACACAUACAUACAUAUAUACUCAUACCUUCUUUUUUUAGACGUAUAUACUCAUACAUCUAGAUAAGAGGGCUAAAAAUGAGUUCCAAAGGAGAAGACUCUAGCUCUAUGGCUGAUCGGAUGGUGAAGAAAGACACAGCGAGUGUGAUUCCUGUUGAGAGAAAAUUGGUAAAGACUAUGGUUGUGAAAACCAUUAUCUCUGCCUUCACCCCCUCUGGUUGUACCGGGGGCUCUGAGCCUACCGGCAACGGCAAUGGCAACGGAGGGCGGCGCGUGCACCCUACUCGUCGCUGAUCGGUCCUUUUCUUGGGGCUGAAGAUAUUUGCGCCACCGCUGUGAACUCUUCUGGUGUGACGAUGAUUAUGAUGAUAACCCCUUCUGUAAAAAACACAUGUUGUACGGGUUAUGUUUAUGAUAAGGUGGUGUUCUUGUCGUCUAAAUUUAAUGUAAUAAUGCGUCUCUUUGUUUUUGCUAAGUUUAAAUGUUUGUAUUGUUCACGUUUGACGAUGAUUAUGUUAUCCUUUUUGUUUAAAAACAUGAUGUAUGUGUUAUGUUUGUGCUACUAGUAUUUAAACAGUAUUCUUUCUGUUUGUAACCAUGUUCACAGUUUCUAAUAAUUACAUA